GGUAGUAUCUCUCUCUCAUGCCUCAGAGAGAGAACAUGCUCGUCUCUAAAUGAGAGCGAAGUACGAGAGAGCGUCGAGUCAGUCUGGGUUGAACGAGCUUGCGAAUCGGUCGUACUAACGAGGAUAAAAAUCAUAGAUCACACUUACAUAUAAUAAAUACAUAUAUAUAAACAAUUCAACCGAAACAGCCUAUUACAAUAUCAGAAGUGGUCCUAACCCAAAACUAUGAGUAACGCAGUUCCAGUAUCCGAUUUAACCCUCGACCAACUAAAACAAUGGCUAGCAACUUUAAACAUGCCAACAAACGGCUCAAGAAAUGAAUUAGUGCUUCGUCUGUAUAGUGUGCCAGUCGAAACACGUGGUCAUGCCCCACCUGGUUGGAACGAACAUGAUAAUUCAGAGCAUAAUUUAGACGACAUCCAAUUGAUGCGGCCUAACCCAGACCAAUUAAAUGAAGCGUCAAUUCCGAGAAGCGUACAACAAGAAGCGGUGAACUCCAAUUUCAACAACAACAACGAUGUCGCGGUGGUUCAACAAUUGCUACAACAACUUCAACUGCUGAUUCCUAGAAUCGAGCAUGGUCACGAUUUGGGCAGAUCUUUCCAGAAUUUGGAAAACAAUGGAAACGCCACUGGCAUUGUUAUCGAUAACAAUGUAGCUAAUGAGAAUAUCGAUGACAGCACCAUUCCCAUCAAUGGCAACGCCACAGUCGAAGCCACCAACCAAUACUCUGGCAACUCAAACGGCGAAUCGAUGGGUAUAGCUUUUUCACUGGCGAAGGAAGUAUUGCUGGACUUCAAUGGCGAAUCGUGCCCCAAAAAGUGGGUGGCUCAGCUUAAAAAUAUCGGUGAAGUGUAUAACAUAGGCAACACUCACUUACGAAUGCUCUUCAUUUGCAAGAUGAAAAGCAAGGCGCAUUCAUGGCUUCAUUCGGAGGUUACACGUAUUCGCGAGCCAGUAGCAGUACUAUGCGAACAGUUAAUGGCAGCUUUUGGAGAGAAGAUGUCCAAGUCACAAAUGCGUCGUCAUUUCGAACAGCGUAAUUGGAAGUUUGGCGAAAAGUUUGCAGUUUAUCUGGACGACAAACUAAUGUUAGCCAACAAUAUUAACAUCGAUGAAGAGGAACUCCUUGAUAAAGUUAUCGAGGGUAUACCUGACAAGGGAUUACGCACUCAAGCACGGAUCCAAUGUUUCGCCAACCCUAAGCAGAUGUUAGCUGCUUUCGCUGAGAUACAUCUAGAGGACAUUCGACGCGCAACUAAAGAUGAAAACGAAACUGGCAGAGCAAACAAGCUCCAAGAGAUGCGCUGUCGUAGAUGUAACAUUAGAGGACACCUGGUGAAGGACUGCAACAGGCCGGACCGUGUACCAGGCUCUUGUGUCAUCUGUGGAUCCAUGGAGCAUUGGGCGGCCAAAUGUCCAGAUAGGAAGGGCAGCCAUGAAACUAAUGGACUCAACCGUACGAACCAGAGCAGCAACAAUUUCGUGAAUGCCCACUUUGAGUUUACGAAUAUCAAAUGCACACCGCUAGAUGAAGAAUUUGCUACAUUUGAAUAUUGCUACCUAAAGUCGGUGAAUCGCACCUACAAGUAUAUGUCGUUAAAGGUGAAUCUUCUUAAAAGCCCCAUUACAAAAAUUAAGGUAAAUAUUGCACUAAUGCAACGGUUAAGUGGCUAUAAGCCAUUUCUAUACAAUAUUACUGUUGAUGCUUGUAAGCUUUUGGCCAAUUACAAAUCUGCCAAUCCUGUGACUAAAUAUCUGCACGGGUUAUUUAAACCAUUUUCAAAUAUGAAUCACUCUUGCCCAUACAGUGAUAGCAUUAUUGUGGAGAAGCUUCCCAUUGACUAUCUGAAUACACAGCUCAGUCUUGUUUUGCCCUUUCCCAAAGGAGAUUACGCUUUCUACAGCAAUUGGUAUGCAUAUGACAUAAAUCGAGCAGAUGUUCGAGUGUACUACACAAUUUCGUAAAUGUUUGUAAACUCCCCUAUGAGUAAAUAUGUUGGGUAUUGUAUGUCCUCUAAUCGAGUGUAUAAGGAGGAAAGGCCUUACCAACUCCUUAAAGCAUAUUUAUUGCAUUGAUUGUUAUCAAGAGUUGGUUUGUCGGCGGAAUUACUUACUUCAUUUGGGAGUCAAUGGCGACUUAAGGAGAGAAAAAUAUCAAAGAAAAUCUAUAC